UAUAUAUAUAAACCCACGCCUUCUUUCUGGUAGUGCCCCAGUUUGGCCGCAGCCCAAUAACUGAAACGAAUAGCAAGAUGUUGCUUUCUGUAACGUGGAAAUAAAUAAACGUUAAAUUUUGGGAUCAAGGACGAAAAAUCCAGGAUCAUGUUAAAAGAAGACGAAACGAAAUGUGUUGGACAAAGAUGAUUAAUGCAGCGGAGAGUGACUCAAAGUGCUUAUAGAUCAGAUUUGCAUCGAACGGAACUUAUUUUCAACCAAAAGAUAAAGAGCAAAUCACUUGAAAAUAAGUUUAAAAUGCAUUGACAAAGCAUUCUCCCUCCUGUUAAAAUCAAGGGACUUCACGGACACAACAGAUAUUCACCAGAUAAGCCAAAUCCGUAACGUAAGGUUUCGAUUCCCAGCUGCUGAAGUCAUUUAUUUUCACUUCAAUCAAGAAGCUUAAUAAUUUACCCUUGGCCAAUCAAUGCACGAAUGUCAUACAGUUCUAGUUCUCUCACUACACAACUACUAAACUUCUGUAAUUAAUGAAGUAGUGGCUUUUGUAUUUAAAUAAAUCAUAAUGAUAAUUGUU
rnacentral:lncRNA from 1 species